GAUGAACGCUGGCGGCGUGCCUAAUACAUGCAAGUCGAGCGAACAGACGAGGAGCUUGCUCCUCUGACGUUAGCGGCGGACGGGUGAGUAACACGUGGAUAACCUACCUAUAAGACUGGGAUAACUUCGGGAAACCGGAGCUAAUACCGGAUAAUAUGUUGAACCGCAUGGUUCAACAGUGAAAGACGGUCUUGCUGUCACUUAUAGAUGGAUCCGCGCUGCAUUAGCUAGUUGGUAAGGUAACGGCUUACCAAGGCAACGAUGCGUAGCCGACCUGAGAGGGUGAUCGGCCACACUGGAACUGAGACACGGUCCAGACUCCUACGGGAGGCAGCAGUAGGGAAUCUUCCGCAAUGGGCGAAAGCCUGACGGAGCAACGCCGCGUGAGUGAUGAAGGUCUUCGGAUCGUAAAACUCUGUUAUUAGGGAAGAACAAAUGUGUAAGUAACUAUGCACGUCUUGACGGUACCUAAUCAGAAAGCCACGGCUAACUACGUG
rnacentral:rRNA from 1 species